rnacentral:rRNA from 1 species
UAACGCGAAGAACCUUACCUGGGUUUGACAUACGCCGGAAAGCAUCAGAGAUGGUGCCCCUUUUUGUCGGUGUACAGGUGGUGCAUGGCUGUCGUCAGCUCGUGUCGUGAGAUGUUGGGUUAAGUCCCGCAACGAGCGCAACCCUCGUUCCAUGUUGCCAGCAGGCCCUUCGGGGUGCUGGGGACUCAUGGGAGACUGCCGGGGUCAACUCGGAGGAAGGUGGGGAUGACGUCAAGUCAUCAUGCCCCUUAUGUCCAGGGCUUCACGCAUGCUACAAUGGCCGGUACAAAGGGCUGCGAUGCUGUAAGGCGGAGCGAAUCCCAAAAAGCCGGUCUCAGUUCGGAUUGGGGUCUGCAACUCGACCCCAUGAAGUCGGAGUCGCUAGUAAUCGCAGAUCAGCAACGCUGCGGUGAAUACGUUCCCGGGUCUUGUACACACCGA